AACGAACGGUAGCGGCGUGGAUUAGGCAUGCAAGUCGCACGCGGCCUAUACUUCGGUUUAGGUCAGUGGCGAAAGGGUGAGUAAUGCAUAGACCAUCAACCCCUGACUCCGGGAUAACUGAGGGAAACCUCAGCUAAUACCGGAUAGGCUGCCUUUGAGCAUUUCAAAGACAGUAAAGCCCAUUUAGUUGGGUGGUCAAGGACGAGUCUAUGUCCUAUCAGCUUGAUGGUGAGGUAACGGCUCACCAUGGCAAUGACGGGUAGCCGACCUGAGAGGGUGACCGGCCACACUGGGACUGAGACACUGCCCAG
rnacentral:rRNA from 1 species